rnacentral:rRNA from 1 species
AUAGGCAAUUUUUUCCUGUAAUGGUUUUUUGUUUAAAUGUUUUUUUUCGCCUAAGGAUGGGUCUGCGGCCGAUUAGGUAGUUGGUUAGGUAAUGGCUUACCAAGCCUUUGAUCGGUACGGGUUGUGAGAGCAAGAGCCCGGAGAUGGAACCUGAGACAAGGUUCCAGGCCCUACGGGGUGCAGCAGGCGCGAAACCUCCGCAAUGUGAGAAAUCGCGACGGGGGGAUCCCAAGUGCCAUUCUUAACGGGAUGGCUUUUCUUUAGUGUAAAGAGCUUUUGGAAUAAGAGCUGGGCAAGACCGGUGCCAGCCGCCGCGGUAACACCGGCAGCUCUAGUGGUAGCAAUUUUUAUUGGGCCUAAAGCGUCCGUAGCCGGUUUAAUAAGUCUCUGGUGAAAUCCUGUAGCUUAACUAUGGGAAUUGCUGGAGAUACUAUUAGACUUGAGACCGGGAGAGGUUAGAGGUACUCCCAGGGUAGAGGUGAAAUUCUGUAAUCCUGGGAGGACCGCCUGUUGCGAAGGCGUCUAACUGGAACGGUUCUGACGGUGAGGGACGAAAGUUAGGGGCGCGAACCGGAUUAGAUACCCGGGUAGUCCUAACUGUAAACGAUGCGGACUUGGUGUUGGGGUGGCUUUGAGCUGCUUCAGUGCCGAAGGGAAGCUGUUAAGUCCGCCGCCUGGGAAGUACGGUCGCAAGACUGAAACUUAAAGGAAUUGGCGGGGGAGCACCACAACACGUGGAGCCUGCGGUUUAAUUGGAUUCAACGCCCGGACAUCUCACCAGAGGCGACAGCUGUAUGAUAGCCAGGNUUGAUGACUUU